CAGUUUAUCUGUUUCUUUCUCUCUCUGGGGUUUUUGAUCGGCAAUAAAUGAUGCGUUCUUCAUGUUCGACAACAGCAGCCAAAAGUAGGCCCAAGUCCAUACGAUUUACAUACCUUAGAAGGCUGCCUUCAAGUUUCGCAAGUACACCAAUCAUGUUUGUGACGGUGCCCCUCACAACAUCUUGGUCAUUCUCAAAUACAUUGCAAUCUAGGAUUCAUCUGUAAAGGAAAAAUCCUAUGGACCCAUAUCCUCGUCUAAUUUAUGGAGAGAUACAUCUGGUCAUAAAGCAAACCAAGACACAACAAUGGAUGCUAUGGCAGUUGAAAAUUCGGAGUGCUCUGAAUAACUUGACAAACACAUCUAACCAGCUCACAACAACUUCUAGUCCUCUUGACAUGGUAACUCGACAUCAAGUAUGGUCCGUGUCAUCAAUAUAAGAUGUCUCUCUUACUCAGGUACCCACUAAGUGCUAAUCACAUUGUUCAAAUUUACUUCCAACUCUAUUUUAGAAUAGCAUGCAAAAUUUGUUUUACAGCUUUAUUUUACAAUGUAUAUCACUUUCAGUUGUGAUCAUCUUCACUCUGACACUUUGUACUAGUUUAUUUUUAAUAUAUUAUUUAUUAAUUGUAAAUUUAUAAUUACUUAAGUAGUUAAAUCUUGAUUUAUAGGUGGGAGAUAUAGUUGUUCUAAAAAGUAUCAUUAGGCCAACAGAAACAGUUGCAAUCGGGGUACUUAAAAGCACAGACCCAUCUAAAGAAGUAGAAGGGGAAGAACUAGGACCUGACUAUUGGGAGAUCGCUGUUCAAGUGCUAGUCAAACUGUCAGGACCCGAACUCGCCCCUAUGGAUUAAGGUCAUAACCGACCAGUAAUCAAGGGAUUACCUGCGGCCUCAAACCAAACAAAACGUAUUCCAUCAGAGUUAAGGGGCCAAACGGAAGCAAACUUGCAAAUUGUCCAUAGAGCCGUGCUUACAUGGCACAUCAAAUAACUCAUAUCAGCAUUCAUUAAUAACUCACACUAAAAAGGAAAUCAACUUAAAGUGUUAUACACACACAGAAUCAUUCAAGUCUUAGUCAGCCUAACCAAAACUUAUAUACAAAGGUAAUCCAACAUUUCGCCAACACAACGAGAUUACAACAAGAGAUCAAAAGAGGUGAAAGUAAGUCUCAUGCGUGAGACGUUUAGGGCUGACUCUCCAAAACUUGACCUUUCUCACAGACUUCAUCAGGGCUGGGUUUGGACAUCUCUUUGCUCACCUACAUACACAUGAAUGAG